rnacentral:rRNA from 1 species
GACGAACGCUGGCGGCGUGCUUAACACAUGCAAGUCGAACGGUAAGGCCCCAGCUUGCUGGGGUACACGAGUGGCGAACGGGUGAGUAACACGUGGGUGACCUGCCCCGCACUUCGGGAUAAGCCUGGGAAACUGGGUCUAAUACCGGAUACGACCGCACUGAGGGUGUGGUGGAAAGUUUUUCGGUGUGGGAUGGGCCCGCGGCCUAUCAGCUUGUUGGUGGGGUAAUGGCCUACCAAGGCGGCGACGGGUAGCCGGCCUGAGAGGGUGGACGGCCACAUUGGGACUGAGACACGGCCCAGACUCCUACGGGAGGCAGCAGUGGGGAAUAUUGCACAAUGGGCGGAAGCCUGAUGCAGCGACGCCGCGUGGGGGAUGACGGCCUUCGGGUUGUAAACUCCUUUCACCAUCGACGAAGGUUUUCUGACGGUAGAUGGAGAAGAAGCACCGGCUAACUACGUG